ACGGCUAAAUUUGGAGAGUGUGCUGCUUUCCUGGUGAACAAUGGCUCUACUGAUGCCACUGUCCAAUUUCAGAACUCUCCUUAUCAGUUGUCCCGAAAGUCAAUCAGUAUCUUACCAGACUGUAAAAGAGUAUCUUUUAACACUAGAGAGGUAAACAAGUCCUCACCAGUAUUCAUGCUAAUUCAUAUGCAAGCUGAUACUAACUUAAAAUUAUUCAUAUGGCUUGUGCAACAUGUAAGCGCACAACAUGCUACAAGAUCAUGGACACCAACUCAAAAUUUUGAUUCACCUCAUAAUUGACAAGAGUACAAUGAAGUCAUUCUCACUUAUGACAAUACCUCUCUAAGAGAAAACAUAAUAGCAGACCAAAUGAGAACUAUAAAUGACCUUUCUGAUUAUCUGUGGUAUACUUUCAGCUUUCAGCAUGACUCUCCUAAUCCAGAAUCCACAUUAAAUGUUCAAACACGAGGACAUGUCUUGCAUUCAUUUGUAAAUGGAGUACUUGUAGGUAAGGUUUACAUCUCAGUAUCUGAAUGAUUCGUUUACCACCAAUCCUUCACCUUCUUACAUCUCAUUCAUUCAUUCAUGUAAUGUGCAUAUUCUCUUGGGUAUUUUAGAUAGUCGGUUCAUUACGAGUUUAAUAUAGUGAUUUGAAGUUUCUGGGUUUACUUGAUAUGAAUGUAUAUAUGGUUCAAGAUAGGCUUAGAUGAGGCCUCUUAGAAAGCCUCUUAGAUGAGGCCCUUGCAUUCACCAGCAUGAAUUUGAAGAACUUGAGCAGGUUGCAUGAUACUCUAGGAAAUGGUGUAUCAGAGAAAGUGAAUCUAUCCAUUUAUGAAAAUAUGGUAGCAAUAAGAAAAGCCUCUUAGAUGAGGCCCUUGCAUUCACCAGCAUGAAUUUGUAGAACUUGAGCAGGUUGCAUGAUACUCCAAGAAAUGGUGUAUCAGAGAAAGUGAAUCUGUCCGCUUAUGAAAAUAUGGUAGCAAUAAGAAAAGUUGUAGUUCAGGUUCGUUUGAUAUAUCAAUGUUGUCUUUAGACAUGCAUGCUAGUAUGUAGUAUUUGUAAAGUUUGUUUAACAGAUAAUAUAUGCAGUGUCCGCUGUUGUGCAAAGAAUUUAUUGUUGAUGCUUGUCAACAUUUUUUCAAUUACUAGACAUUAUUUUCUGUCACAGUUUCUCAUCUCUUAUGGGCUUAUGGCUGCAGUAUAUUCAAGAUGUGAAAGAUGAGAACAUUAACUUCCACUAUAAAAUGUAUGUUCAAUUGUAUGACUAAUUUGUAAUGUUUCUUACUAGGGUUUGUAUAAAUCAGCAAGAAAGUGUUCCUUACUAGGUCAUAGUGUUAAAACAAGUAUAUUUGAGGACUGAAGUGUUGAAGUUUAAUUAAACUAGUUCUCCUUUAUAGUUUAUACAUAGGCCUCUUUUAGGGAGUGAAUGUAAUAAUGAAUAUUGUUGAUGUAUUGUUGAAUAUUUUAAGAUUUCAAUGGAAAAUAUGAGAUUGGAUUAUU